GUUAAUGUAGCUUAAAAUUAAAGCAA
rnacentral:tRNA from 3 species